rnacentral:rRNA from 1 species
AUAUCAAUAAGCGGAGGAAAAGAAACCAACAGGGAUUGCCCUAGUAACGGCGAGUGAAGCGGCAACAGCUCAAAUUUGAAAUCUGGCUCUUUCAGAGUCCGAGUUGUAAUUUGCAGAGGGCGCUUUGGCUUUGGCAGCGGUCCAAGUUCCUUGGAACAGGACGUCACAGAGGGUGAGAAUCCCGUACGUGGUCGCUAGCUAUUGCCGUGUAAAGCCCCUUCGACGAGUCGAGUUGUUUGGGAAUGCAGCUCUAAAUGGGAGGUAAAUUUCUUCUAAAGCUAAAUAUUGGCCAGAGACCGAUAGCGCACAAGUAGAGUGAUCGAAAGAUGAAAAGCACUUUGGAAAGAGAGUCAAACAGCACGUGAAAUUGUUGAAAGGGAAGCGCUUGCAGCCAGACUUGCUUGCAGUUGCUCAUCCGGGCUUUUGCCCGGUGCACUCUUCUGCAGGCAGGCCAGCAUCAGUUUGGGCGGUGGGAUAAAGGUCUCUGACACGUUCCUUCCUUCGGGUUGGCCAUAUAGGGGAGACGUCAUACCACCAGCCUGGACUGAGGUCCGCGCAUCUGCUAGGAUGCUGGCGUAAUGGCUGUAAGCGGCCCGUCUUGAAACACGGACCAAGGAGUCUAACAUCUAUGCGAGUGUUUGGGUGUCAAGCCCGAGCGCGUAAUGAAAGUGAACGGAGGUGGGAACCCGCAAGGGUGCACCAUCGACCGAUCCUGAAGUUUACGGAAGGAUUUGAGUAAGAGCAUGGCUGUUGGGACCCGAAAGAUGGUGAACUAUGCUUGAAUAGGGUGAAGCCAGAGGAAACUCUGGUGGAGGCUCGCAGCGGUUCUGACGUGCAAAUCGAUCGUCAAAUUUGGGCAUAGGGGCGAAAGACUAAUCGAACUAUCUAGUAGCUGGUUCCUGCC